AUGGCGGAUGCACCUCUUUACAAGCAGCGCCGCAGGUACACCAGGGAGCUCCACGACGUCGACCUCCACGGCAACCACAAGCUCCAAGUCGUUUGCACAAGCAAGGGUGAAGACGUGGACAGGAUGUUGUCCACGCUCAGGAGGAAGCUCGGCGUAAUGCCCGUCAAACUAGUCGGCGUUGAUGUCGAGUACACGCACUACGUGAAGCCACAGCGGGCAGCAGUGCUCCAGCUAUGUGUAGAAAAAGAAUGCCUUGUCUACCACAUCUCUGCAGCUAAAGACAGGCCAAUGGAACUAGACAAAUUCGUCAUGAAUGGUGAGUACACCUUCGUCGGAUUCGCCAUUAAAGGAGACAAAAGCAAGCUGAAGCUAUCUGGUUUGGAGAUCAACUCCGACAACUACAUUGAUAUUCAGGUGGAAUGGAGAGACCCAUACAAUAAAAAGAAGUUUGACUCUUUAGCUGAUGUUGUCGGCAGGAUGAUAGACAUUCACUACCAUGACAUGAAGAAAAAAUUAACCGCAAGGAGGACCAUACUCUGUGGGGAUUUUGCCCACUGCCAGAAAAGCUUAUCAAGUAUGCAGCAAUAG
rnacentral:rRNA from 1 species